ACAGCACAGCUUCCAGUGCCCCACCGCGCGGGAAAGAAACAUAAUCUGUUUCAACCCCGCCCCCAAGACUGGAGGGGUCCACGAGUGAGCAACUUCAUUCAUGAAACUAUUCAUCUGCACUCUGACCCAAAGGACAUUCAUGCAUAUAUCCACCUUGCUUGUGGGAGCCCAGUCUCUGGCCAGCUUCUGAAAGGACUUGUCAUUUGGAGCGUGCCUAACCAAGACACACUUGGUUCCAAGCAGCCAGCUGCCCACCAGAAGGACUUGCCUUUCCUGGGCACUGCAGCCAAGGUCAUGCCAGCACUGAGCACUGGCCAGGGGUGGGGGUGGGGGUUGGAGGAGAACUGCCUCACCAAUCGAUCCCAGGAGCAUGGAAAGGAGCAGCUCCCUAAAACAGCCACUGAAAGCAGGAUCUGUCCUCUGUCAAGAUGUCACUUCCCAGGCUACUUCUCCUUCCAUGCCUGUAAGAGCCAAGGAGGUACCAGACCAAUGGCCUAAAGCCGCCAGACCUCCAUUCCUUUGCUGAACUCUGGGGUCAGCUGCUGCUUCUGCAAUGGACAGCAACUCUAACUAAAGCAGGAAGAGGGAGGUUACACAUUGAUAAUGAAGGAAACACAAGGAAAGGAUGAGCAGUGAGCUGCCUUUCCCUUGAGGAAUAAUUGAGAUGUUUAUAUAAUGUGUCAAAUUCGGCCCUGGCACAAAGGCAGGACUCAGAAGAUUUGAAUUUUUUACCUCAAAGAGAAGUACAUGAGCUUGGGGAGUUAUAGCUCCCAGUUAUGCUUAGAGCAUGAUAUUGUACUUCCAGGCGGGCUUCCUGGCUUAAAAAAAAAUGGGCAGGGACACUUCGUGGUUCCAGCUGGUUUUGGUGACUCAGCACAGUAAAGAAAGCCUGAGGGGGGACAGUCGUGCAGGCUCCCAUUGUAGAGGCGCCCCAUGUACCCCGGGCUUUAUGUACACUCUCCCUCGGGAGGUGUCAUGCUGGCUUAACAGAUGAGGAACUUGAGGCUGAGAGAGAUUUGAUAUCUUGCCUGAGGCCUCAUAGCUAGGGAGUGAUAUAGAACUGGAUUUGAACUCUGUGUACUUUCAAAACACUUUCCUUUUCUGGGCUAUGGGGGAGGGGACAUGGAUGGGAGGAAGGGAAGAGGGUGAAGGACUAUGGGUUUCUAGGUUCUGGGGAGGCUUGCUGGUUGGGGAUGGGAGGUGGCUCUUUGCAGAGACUCUAAAGUUGACAUCCCACAUGGGAUGCAAAAAAUGCAUCAACAACUACCAUCUGCGGACAACCCUUCAGUCUUGUACUGCUGCAAAUAAUAAAGCUGGAGAGGUUAGUGGGGGCUAGAGUGUGAAGAGCUUGGUGAAUCACCUUAGGGAGCUUGCAUUUGCUCUAGAAGGCAGUGGAGGGCCAAAGAGUGGCAUGAUUUGAUCUGCACUGACAUUCCGUAUGGGACAGAAAUACUGAGUGCAUAUCAGUAAGCGCUCACACAUACGUCAUGUGGGCCAUGGGAAGAAUGUUUAAUAUAACGGUGCAGUGAUCCCCAUUGAGGGCUCAGGGGACAGUCAGGUUUGACUCCCAGUUCUGUCACUUCCUGCCUGUGAAGGCUUGGUGAGUGAUCUCUCCAUUUCUUUCCUCCUCUGACAAAUGAGAGGUGAUAAUGAUGAUUUCUAAGCCACGGGGUUGCUAUAAGGAUGAGACAAGGUUAUGCAUAUAAAAUAUAGCACAGCGCCUGGAACAUUCACACACUCAGGGAAUGCUGGCCUGAUCUCACACCCCACACAUUGUCUGCUCCACUUCCAGUCCUUUUUUUUUUUUGUCUUUUUAGGGCUGUAGCCAUGGCAUAUGGAAGUUCCCAGGCUAGGGACUGAAUCCAGAGCCACAGCUGCCAGCCUACACCACAGCCACAGACAUAGCAACGUGGUAUCCAAGCCACAUCUGCGACCCACACUACAGCUCAUGGCAACACCAGAUCCUUAACCCACUGAGUGAGGCCAGGGAUCGAACCCCAUCCUCAUGGAUAUUAGUUGGGUUGGUUACCACUGAGCCACGACGGGAACUCCCCACUUCCAGACCUCUUGGCCUUUUGUCUUUUCCCAGCUACUGUGGUGCCCAGGCCCAUGCAGGCUUUGAUCUAAUAGCACCUCCUUCUUUUGCUUCCCCUCCGAGAGCUUCUUGGAUGCUCACAUGGACCUGUUCAUGCAUUUUCCCUCCAGAAGCAUGGGGCAGACAGCUGUGGACAGAGCCGAGGAAUGAAUGUACCCCUCCAUUCCCCAGGUGACCAGUGAGGAGACACAUUUCAUAAGGCUUCUGGGAGGUCCUGCCACUGGAGUAGCCUGUCUCCAUGGUCAGCUCAACAUGCAUCUUCACUCUUUCUCCUCUCCUCUCUCCCUCCCUAUCUUUCACCUCUGCUCCUUGGGACCACUUUCCCUAUUGAACACCUACACUUUUUUUUUUUUUUUUUCUCAGACUCUGCUUUUCAGAAGGACCCAGGCUAAAACAACCCAUUAUAAGAUGAUCCUACUUUCUUGGAAAUGCUAGAAACAUGAACAUCUAUAAGAGAGAAUCAUUCCUUGUGGUUGGGUAGCCUCCUCCCUAUAACCUAAGGUUCCAGUUUUACUUAUUCACUAGUGUGAGGGUAGAGGAGCUGGUGAACUAAGGGAGCUGGAAGAACUCUGAGGUCCAAGGACAUGUAGGUGGAGCCCUGUCCAGUCCUGAGUCUGCUGGUGACUGGGCCAUCCUAGGCAGGUGUCUCCCUCUGAGCCUCCUUCUCCUUACCUGUAAAACAGAGAUAACAGAUGCCUACUUGUACUGUGGAGAGACUCUGUGAGUUGAGUGCUUGGCCCUGUCCAGCCCCUGAUACGUGUUCAGUGAAUGGUGAGCCUUGGUCUGUAAUCACCGCUGGACUGUCCUAGAUCUAGGGUCUCCUAUUGCUUCAUAUGUGCUUCCUUAGCUUCCACAGUGAAAUGGUGAGCCCGUCACACUGCAGUGGUAGAAGAAAUUUGUGAUCAAUAGAUCCAUGAUCUCUUUCAAAUAAAUGACUCCAGCUUUAUUGUCCUAAAUAGCAGAGGCUUUGGUAUUCCUGGGACAAGGGAGUUCCUGUUGUGGCUCAGGUAAUGAACCUGACUAAUAUCCAUGAGGACGAGAGUUUGAUCCCUGGCCUCACUCAGUGGGUUAAAGAUCUGCUGUUGCCAUGAACUGUAGUGUAGGUUGCAGAUGUGGCUCGGAUCCCACGUUGCUGUGUCUGUGGCUGUGGUGUAGGCUGGCAACUGUGGCUCUGAUUCAACCCCUAGGAUUUUCUUGCCUUCCAUAUUGAGGGCCUGGUUUGUUUGAGACAGGAAGUGCCCAAUAAAAUUACUCACUUUCCUGGCAGUGGAGGUGGGCUGAGGGACCCCAUUCUGGCCAGACAGUGGUAAAUAGCAGCCUGGGUUCCUGAUGACACGGUAGAGCCAGUGGAGAAAAUGGAGGACUUUAUUUGCUUCAUCUCUGUAGUUAGGUUUCUGUUGUAUGUAACCAAACAGUUCUGGAUGGUUCAGAGACACAUUAUCGUAUCCUGCUUAAGAGCAUGGGCCUUUGAGUUAACAGAUGACAGCUUUCAGUCUCAGCUCUGUUGCAUACUAGCCAGCUGUGUGACACCUCAGACUAGUCACUCCGUCACGCUUCCCUGUUUCUAUAAAACGGGAGUGACAGUACCUCCUAAUGUGUGUCUCAUAUAACAUGAAAGUAAUCAACUUGUUCCAGUUUGCCUGGAACUUGUCCAGUUUUAGCACUGAAAUUCGCACAUCCUAGGAAACCCCUCAGUCCCAGACAAGCCCGGCAGCUGGUCACCCUAUUAAAACACCUCCCCAAAUACCUACCUCCUUUACCAAUGGAAGAGUGGGCCCUGAAGGCCAACACUUCUAUUUGAUGUUGCCAUCUAGUGGCUGAGCAGAAUAUAACAUCACUGCAAAGACUAGUUUUCCAUUAUAUAAGCCGUUUUUUCUUAACAAAAACGAACCACAGGUCAAAAUGGAAUAUUCUACUAACCAUUUAAAUUUAUAGCUGUUGUAAUCCCACUAUAUUUUAAGACACACUGGUAUUUGCCAGCAGAUAUGGUAUCCUGUUGAGCUAUUGUGAGGAUUUAAUGAGUGUAGGAAGGCCUCUUCCAUGGUGUAUCACAGUUUAUGUGCUUAAGGGUCACUGGUGUCACGUAAACAUGGGUUAGACUCUGUGCUUUGACUCAUCCUUUGAAAAGUGAUUUCAUCCCCCUGAAUCUGUUUCCUUGUUUGUAUUGGGGGUAAUAGGACCUUCCUCAGAGGGUUGUCUAGAUUGAUAGCGAGAUGCUUGUGGGCCCCUUGAGGGAAGCACAACCCCCAAAUAGUGCUUUUCCUACCGAGUUCUCCAGAAGCCAAGCCUCAGGCCACCCCCCUUUGGGGGGGUUUGCAGCUCUGGGAGGAACUGACCUGGAGAUAACUUUUCUGCAUCAAGGCCAGUCUCAGCUGGAAGUAGGGCUUCAGAGGCCAGGAAGGCCUGACUGGACACUGUGAUGAAUUCAGCUGGUUCCUCUUAAGCUAAAGCUAUUAUCCCUCCUCUGAGAUGGAUACUAGGCAGGCACUAUACAGGGGCACGACCCAGUACUCAAUUCAGUGGCCUUAAGCAGUGGGAGCUAACUAGUGCCCAGGCCAGUACUGUGGGCGAGCCCUGAUCAAAGCCAGAACUGCAAUGUAAACCCCAGCUGUUUUCUGCUUUCUACUUAUGCUGUGUUCAAACACACUAGGGUAUGCCUGUACCAGCCUGGCCUGCUCAGUCUGUUCAGAAGGCUUCCUAAAGAUUCAGAGAAACAGACACAUCCCUGCCUUUCCUGCACCAGUCUUUGUGAGUUCUAGAAAAAAGAAUCACUCAAAUCUUUCAAACAUCUAAUUCUGCUAUAGCUAUGAAGACCCACAAAUAGGCUUAAUAGCAACACUGGAUUUAAGUUCUUCAAUUCUAUUUCUAAGUGAAAUUAGAGAAAGAUACAUAUGCUACUUAUAUUAAUCAACACAUAUAACUGCUGGCCUCUGCUUUGUUCUGUGUACCUCCAAUGCCUUGUAGUCCUGUUUUAGUGCCUGGGUGUUAAGUUUUAAUUUCAUUCAUUUUUAAUGAAAAUUUUAAAAUGUCUCAUCUCUAUCUUCAGAUAUUAUGUUAUGGCUAUAAAAAGAGCUGUCUUUCUUUCU
rnacentral:lncRNA from 1 species